rnacentral:rRNA from 1 species
UCCGAGUUGUAAUUUGUAGAGGAUGUUUUGGGUACCGCCCCGGUUUAAAUUUCUUGGAACAGAAUGUCAGAGAGGGUGAGAAUCCCGUCUUGGACCGGCGGUAGGGCCUGUGUAAAACUCCUUCGACGAGUCGAGUUGUUUGGGAAUGCAGCUCAAAAUGGGUGGUAAAUUUCAUCUAAAGCUAAAUAUUGGCCAGAGACCGAUAGCGCACAAGUAGAGUGAUCGAAAGAUGAAAAGAACUUUGAAAAGAGAGUUAAACAGUAUGUGAAAUUGUUGAAAGGGAAGCGCUUGCAACCAGACUUGAGCGCGACGGUUCCCCUAGCCUUUUGGCUAGGUUACUCCGUCGUGUCCAGGCCAACAUCGGUUCUGAGGGUCGGUCAAAGGCCCCGGGAAUGUACCUACCUACGGGUAGACUUAUAGACCGGGGUGUCAUACGGCCUCUCGGGACCGAGGAACGCGCUUCGGCUCGGAUGUUGGCGUAAUGGUUGUCAGCGACCCGUCUUGAAACACGGACCAAGGAGUCUAACAUCUAUGCGAGUGUUUGGGUGUCAAACCCGGAACGCGGAAUGAAAGUGAACGGAGGUAGGAAGCUUCGGCUGCACUAUCGACCGAUCCUGAAGUUUACGGAUGGAUUUGAGUAAGAGCAUAGCUGUUGGGACCCGAAAGAUGGUGAACUAUGCCUGAAUAGGGUGAAGCCAGAGGAAACUCUGGUGGAGGCUCGCAGCGGUUCUGACGUGCAAAUCGAUCGUCAAAUUUGGGUAUAGGG